CUGACCGAGCAACGCCGCGUGAGUGAAGAAGGUUUUCGGAUCGUAAAACUCUGUUGUUAGAGAAGAACGUCAGUGAGAGUGGAAAGUUCACUGAGUGACGGUAUCUAACCAGAAAGGGACGGCUAACUACGUGCCAGCAGCCGCGGUAAU
rnacentral:rRNA from 1 species